UUUAGCUUCUUCAAAUUUCAUGUUCAGAUCUGUGUAGAUCGUCCUCCGAUCUGCCUUUUGAAUGUGGAUUUACUGUACUUCCAUAAAAGCUUGGCGAUUGGCCAACCGAGCGGUGGAAUCGUUCGAUUUCCGUCAACGUGUGGCCGCCGGUUGACCUUAGCUGUAGAUCUGAUGCUUUUCGCAAUGGUUCGAUGGAGCUGAGCAUCAGAUCUGUUUGGUCUUCAGAGAUUUGUUGAGGUUGGAUUAGUAGUUUGAGCAACCGAGGUGUUAUUUUACCGAGGCUUCCAACGUUGUUUUCUAGAGCUUUAUCGGUGAGCUAAAUAUGCUUAUUGGGUUUUGUUUAUUUGGAGAAGAUGUGUUAAGCAAUUUAUGUUUGUUGAAAACAAGCUAAUCCUUUUACAUAUUGCAGAUAUGAAUAGAGAUGCAAGGACUAUUGAAUCGGUGCUGCCGUUGUUUUGCAUCAAACGGUUUAGACUGGUAAUCUUCGAUCGAGGGUUGAAUCAGCUAGCGUGAUGGUGUAUUUAAGGUUAUAAUAGUUUAAUUUAUUGUCUACAAUUAUUUAAAUGGCUCAUUUGCAUUAGUUUUUAUUUAUUUAUUUAUGCAUAUGUACGCGAGGAUGAAAGAUUGAGCGACGUUGUGAGUUAUGAGAGGAAAAAUUGAGGUAUUUAUUGUCAUGUUAUCAGGCCUUUGCCAUGUUGGGUGCGCUCGCAUGGCAGGUCAAAAGUACAUUAUAAAAGUAUUCAUUUUGGGUGUUGGAGAGGAGAAGGCACGGGGUUUUGCCCGGCUCUGCUCUCUUUGCGUGUCUCGUGUCCUUUUUGGCUCUGCUCUUUCUUUUUUCCUGCGUCCAACAACUUUGCGUCGAUCAGUGGUUACUUGUCGUUGAAUAGGCCUUGUGAUUACUGUUGUGUAUUUUGAGGCGAGUCUUAUUCAAAGACAAGUAACUCAUGUUGAUUUGCUAUAUGCUCCACGGCGAUGGAUACAAGCAACGUUUCUACUGCAGCACGCCACUAGAGGUACAAUAUCAAUUCUCUUAGUUAAAGUUAACUAACAUUUUUUAUAACAUUUAUCAAUUCUAAACUGAUUGCCUUAAUUAUCACCUUCACUAACUUAUACUCGUAUAAAAGCUUCUAAACAGCACUUCUGGAAAUAUUAUACAAAGGCUGAAAUGCUCACAGCUUGGAAGUAACUUAUGUUAAGCACACCUGCACCUCUAUGGAAGUAACUUUAAGAAUAUAAUUUGGCCGCUGUUAAUUGGCUUGCGAACUUGCCAAUUUUUUAUACAGAGCACCUCAUAAUGUUCCCAUUAAUUGUUUUUAUAAAUUUUUCGCUCGUAAAUAAGACCUUAAUGCAUGAUGUCACAUAAAAAAUGGUGGUUACACCUUUAUUGGUUAUGGUAAGCUUAUGUUUUAUUUAAUAAAAUCUGAAAUUUGAACCAUCAUCUGAUAGUUGUGAUUGGGCAAGGAGCAUAACGUUAGAACUGGUAUUGCAAAGUUGUAUCUGAACUGUGUAUUAUUCUCAUUAAGGUUAGAUUUCAGUGUUUACUCUUUUAAGUUUCCACAGAUAUUUAAGAGGCUAUAAUCAGUAGUGAUAUUGGAAUAUAAAUUGGUUUAUGUAGCGAUAUGGUUGAUAAAAUAGCUGAAAUUAAGUAGCUAUCUUCUUACAAAAUGUUGCGGAAAAUCAUUGUGUUGGCAUCACAAAAUCUCGCUGACACUUGAAUGUUCCAUUUUCAUUAAUUCUGCAGAUGCAACUUAAUUCGGGUUUAUUCUUUUUAUAAAUGCGUACUCUUGGUUUACUUAGUCAAUAGUAGUGAGUUAUUGUUUCUUAGUCUAGUCGGAGCUUAGCUGUGUUCUCCUGAUCUAUGAUGUAAUAGUUUCAUUCCGAUGGAAGUUCUUUGUUAUGGUACCCCUAUUGUAGUGUUUUGGGAGGGGUACCUUGUGUAGCCAGGUUUGGAACUUUGACCUUAAAAACAAUUCAGUGUAUUCCGGUUAGAUUUGAUGCAUAUCAAAUGAUGGUGGGUGGCUGUGGCUUCCAAUAAGCUGGAGGCACAUUGGUGCUGGCGGCUGAAGUUGAAAUUUUUCGUGCUGCGCUUGAUGUAUAUGCUGCUUCUAGUUAAUAUGAAGCUUAGUUUUCUCCGUGUCCAUCAAGAAAUGGAGCUGCUGCUGCUGUUGAAGAUUUGAUAGCCUUGUGUUUGAUGUGCUUUCUGCAUGAGGUAAUUUCUCCGGGAUGCCACUUUGGUGAGGAAUUUGUGAAACUCUAAGCUUGUUGCUGUUACUGGUUUGAAUCUGUGGUUUUCAUUAUGUUUUGAAGCUGUGGUUCUGUGUGGUCAGCAAGUUAACAUCGCUUGGUUUUACAAGCCUUCAUCCAAGAUGAAGUGUUGACUGAAGAUGUUAGAGCUUGUUGCUGUUGCUGGUUUGGAUCUAUGGUUUUCAUUAUGUUUUGAAGCUGUGCUUUUGUGUAAUCAGCAAAAGUAUCAACCCCUGUUGGUUUUGCAAGCAGGUUCAUCAGAAAUGAAGUGCGUGACAGAAGAUGUCGGUCUGUAUAUCCAAAGGAAUUUAAAGAAAGCGUAUUUUCUGUGCCUUUACUAUUUUCUGAUUGGAAAAGUGAAGCUAGCUCCUUAGAAGAGUUGAUAUGGUAUUUCUUUUUAGAAGUAUUUUCUCAGGAAAACGUUGUAGCAAGCGACUGAUAUCUAGUCUCGAACUGUGUUGUUCAUGUGCUUUCUGGCAUUCUGAGGUAAUUCAUUUGGUUUUCAUCUAAAGACUGUAUAAUUUUCUGCACUUUUAUUAUGUGGUAGAAUUUUCUCAGACAUCCAGUGAUCUUGCACAUUUAUAAAGUAUCGUUGUCCUGUUGGAUCAUAUUAUUAGCUAUAGUUUUUUUCGUAAAAUUUAUUUUAAUUUUAGCAAUAGGUUUUUGAUAUCUGUGAGCAUAUUUAAAAUCUCUCCUUGCAGGGCAUGAAUAAUUGUCUGCCUCCAAACUGGAGCGUUUCUCAUGUUUGUAAGAAUGUUGACAAUUAACAGUUUUUACGCAGGCAGUCUGCUGUUGCGAAUCUGCCGGUUCGGCAGUGUCUAAUUAGAAGAUUGUCUCUCUAUUAUAGAGAUACAGUUUGGAGAGAGCGUCAAUUUCACUGAUAAUUUGGUUUCAGAUGGGCUUUGUAUUUAUUAGUAGAAGAGAACUUGCAUGCAGGAUACAGUGUUGCAAUAUUUCUUGACGGAGUAUGGUUGGGUUUUGUGCUAGUCUUGGCAGUACAUGUUCAUCUUUUUAACAAGUUAUUAAACUCGAGAAUGUUCUAGAUUAUUAUUAUUGUUGUUUCAGUCUGCAAACAGUCAUUGUUGGGGUACUAAAUAAGAGAGCUUCCUGGAAUUACAAUGGAUCAAUUGAUGGGACCCUAAAAUGAGUGGCUAUGUUAAUGUUAAUGCAUUGCUUCUAAUUCUCAUCUCCGACAGAUUAGUGAUAAACACUGUUCCUAUUUUUUACCACUAAACAUGGUAAAGGAUUCUUCUAUUCAUCUUAUUUAAAAAAGGCAACUUUUCAUAUUUAAUGCUCCCUAUGUUGCAAUGUAUGUGAACUUAUUCUUUUUAGUUUUGUUAAAAAGAAUGUUUUCACUUAUUUGGAAAUAAUUUAUCUUUAUAUGAUUAUUUAUGACCACAAAAAGGAUUUUUCUCUUUACUUUAACUUCGUGUCCAGUAUAAUUUAAUUCUACUGUCAUUAAUUGCUGUUUUGGAUGGAUGGAUCUAAGAGCUCGGUUUUUGGUUGAGCGCUCGAUGCCAUUGCAUUCGAGAGGUCGGUGGUUCGAAUCCACCCGGAUCCCUAAUUUGAACUGUAGAUUAUUUACUGCAGCACUUUGUGUUUACCUUUGAUUUUUUUUUUUGGGAACCAGCACCGUUAAAUUAAGCUUUUACGACUAUGUAACAACAGAUACUUUGAAACUAGUACGACCAUUGGAAGUGUGGUAUUGUGUUUAUUUCUCUUGAUGUAGUUAUUGUAUUAUCACAUAUUUGAAAUAUUUUCUCCUGCUGCUGGUAAUUGCAGCAAUGGUACUAACAUUUCAAUGCUUAAAUCUUCCUGCAGGUUGCUAUUUCCGUAUGGGUGAUAAACACCCCUAAAGAGGGUUGAUACUUCCAUCAAAUUUUCUUGAUCACAGGAACAUCUUUGAGGCUCAAAAGUAUAAAAUAUUCAGUUGGAAGUACAAGAGAUGGAAUUAAUAAUAUUUUUAAAUGUCUAGUAAUGUAAUCUUCAUACUGUGGCACUAAUUUUAAUCUUCAUAUUUCUCGAUUGAGUUGUUAUUAGGUAUUGCUCUCUGAGCUAGUAUUCUAACAGCUCACUUUUUAAUUCUCUGAUGAUGUAAGCAUUGGAGUAUUGUGGUUGUACCUAACACAAAAUGAAUAGGAGUUCCAUUUUCUUAAAAGUAUAAUAAUAGCAUAAAGGUGUUGUCAAUAUUAUUUCCUAGCUUACAAUAAAUAGUUAAUCUCAAAAUUUGUAUUGUACUUCAGUUUUGAGAAAAUUAUAAUACUAAAAUCUACUUAUAAUAUAUUUCAUGUAUGAAUGGAACAAAGUUCACAUUUUCCAUUUAAUUUUAUUUGAUUUAAGAUCUAAUAUGUCCAACGAAAAUACAUGGCAUUUAGAAUAACAAAAAGUAUUAACUAUUUUUAAGUCGAAAUAUAUUCAUCUAAUUAUAAAAAUGUGAAAAUACUUAUUUUAAAAGUACUUUAAAAAAAAGUAUUUUUGGAAAGAAACAAUUUGUGUUUGGUUAAUCACUCUAAAACACUUUUGAACAAUAAUUUAUGUUUGACCAAGUUUUCAAAAAGUGCUUUUAAGUAUCAAAUUACGAAUAAGGACAUGAAUAAAUUUACUUAAUAGUUAAUAUUAUAAGUAAAUAAAUAAUCUCAAAAAUUUAUCAUUACAUGCAAUAAUUAAUUUUUGUAUUUCAUUUAAGUAAAGUACGAAAAUAAAAUUAAAAAGUACUUAAUUCUUUUAAUAUAAGUAAAAUAUAUUAAAAUAUAUUUAAUAAAUAUAAAAGCAUUCACCAUUAAAAUCACUAUAUAUUAGAAAGCUAUCCUAAAAAUAAGAAGAUAUAUUUAUACAUUAAUAUCCUAAGUAUUAAGUUAACGGUUAUUUUGGUAUAUACUAUAUUUUAUUAAUGGUAUUUUAGGUAAGAAGAAAAUUUAAAACUGCUCUUACUUCUGUUUUUGAAAAAAAAUUAUAUUUUUCUUCUCAAAAGCUAUUUUUACUUCUUCCCAAAAUAUUUUUUUCUCCCCAAAAAACUUGGCCACACAUCUCAAGUUAAAAAAAAGAAGUAUUUUUGGUAAAAAAAAAACAAUUUUGGCCUCAAACAGGCUAUUAUUCCAUUUACAGCCGUCCAAGUAUUUGCGUACCCUAUUCGUCGUCAACCACUUAUCCUAAAUUAAUCUGAGCCGUUAGAUCCUUCUAAAUUCUCAAUAAAUUACGACCUCCUCCUAUCAUUCAUACCUACCUCUUCCAUCUAUGCCCAAUAUCUGUAUCUCCAGAUCUCAUCUUCGUAGUUUAUCUUCUUCAAAUUUCAUGUUCAGAUCUGUGUAGAUCGGUUUUCGAUCUACCUUUUGAAUAUGGUUGUGCUGUGUUUCUGUAACAGCUCAGCCAUUGAUCAACCGAGCUGUGUAACUGUUCGAUUUCCGUCGACUAUGGCCGUUGAUUGACGAGGAGCUUGUAGAUCUGAUGCUUUUCGCAAUGGCUCGAUGUAGGUGAGCAUCAGAUCUGUUUGGUCUUCAGAGAUAUGUUGAGGUUGGAUCAGUAGUUUGAGCAACCAAGGUGUUAUUUUACCGAGGCUUCAACCGUAGUUUGCUAGAGCUUUACCGGUGAGCUAAAUAUGCUUAUUUGAGUUUUGUUUAUUUGGAGAAGAUGUGUUAAGCAAGUUAUGUUUGUUGAAACCAAGCUAAUCCUUUUACAUGUUACAGAUCUGAAUAGAGAUGCAAGGACUACUGAAUCGUUGCUGCCGUCGUUUUGAGUCAAUCGGUUUGGACCGGUGAUCAUCGGUCGGGGAUUGAAAUCUGCUAGCGUGAUGGUGUAUCUAAGGUUAUAAUAGUUUAAUUUGAUGUCUAUAAUUAUUUGAAUGGCUCAUGUGCAUUAUUUUUUCAUUUUAUGCAUGCAUAUGUACGAGAGGAUGAAAGAUUGAGUGACUUUGUGUGAGAUAUGAGAGGAAAAAGUGAGGUAUUUAUUGUUCAUGUUACCAGGCCUUUGCCAUGUUGGGUGCGCUCACAUGGCAGGUCAAAAGUACCUAAUAAAAGUAUUUAUUUUCGGUGUUGGGGAGAGGAGACGGCACGGAGUUUUGCCCGGCUCUCCUCUCUUCGUCUGUCUGCUUCUUUUUUAUUUUUUCCUGUUCUUUCCUUGCUCCUGCGUUCAAAAACUUUGCGUCGAUCAGUGGUUACUUGUCGUUGAAUAGGCCUUGUGAUUACUGUUGUGUAUUUUGAGGCGAGGCCUAUUCAAGGACAAGUAAUUCAUGUUGAUUUGCUCACCACGGUGAUGGACACAAGCAACGUUUCUACUGCAGCACGUCACUAGAGGUACAAUAUCAAUUCUCUUAGUUUAAGUUAACUUUCACAUUUUUCAUAAUAUUAGUCAAUUCUAAAAUAAUUGCCUUAAUUAUCACGCGUACACUAAUACUCAUAUAAAAACUUCCUGACAGCAAUUCUGGAAAUAUUUAAAAAAAGCUGAAAUGCUCACAUGCUGUACUUUUAUGUUAAGCACUUGCACCUCUUUUUGGAAGUUACUUUAGAAUAUAUUUUGGCCGCUGUUAAUUGGCUUGUGAACUUGCCAAUUUGAGCACCUCAUAAUAUUCCCACAAAGUGGUUUAAUAAAAUUUAUGCUCCUAAAUAGGAUCCCUAAUUCAUGAUGUUCCAUGAAAAUGGUAAUUACACCUUUAUUGGUUAUGGUAAGCUUAUGUUUUAAUGAAAUCUGAAAAUGGAACCAACUGUUAGUUGCGAUUGGUCAUGGAGCAUAAAAUUAGAAUUGGUAUUGCAAAGUUGUAUCUAAGCUCCUUAUUAUUCUCUAAUAAGGUUUGAUCUCGUUGUUUAAGCCUAAAGUUUCCCCAGAUAUUUAAGAAACUAUAAUCAGUAGUGAUAUUGGAAUAGUAAUUGGUUUAUUUAUCUAUAUGGUGGAUAAAAUAGCGGAAUUAACAAGCUGUCAUCUUACGAAAUGUUGCGGAAAUUCAUGGUGUUAUUACAAAAGCUCGCGAAACUGAAACUUCCAUUUUCAUUAAUUCUGCAUAUUCAACUUAAUUCGGUAUUCUCCUUUUAUAUAUACCAAUUUUUGAUUACUUAGUAAAUAAUACCUAGUUAUUUAGUAUUCAUGAGUUAUUGUUUUUAAGUAGUCAUGUCUUCUUUGGCAAGAGUCUAGUCGGUGCUUAGCUGUGUUCUCUUGAUCUAUGAUGUAAUAGUUUCAUUCCAAUGGGAGUUCUUUGUUAUGGUACCCCUGUUGUAGUUUUUUGGGAGGGGUACCUUGUGUAGGCAGGUUUGGAACUUUGACCUUAAAAACAAUUCAGUGUAUUCCGGUUAGAUUUGAUGCAUAUCAAAUGAUGGUGGGUGGCCGUUCCUUCCAAUAAGCUGGAGGCGCAUUGGUGCUGACUGAAGUUCAAAUUUUUGGUGCUGCAUCUUGACAUAUAGUGCUGCUUCUAGUGAUUGUGAAGCUUUGUUCACCCGUGAUCAUCAAGUAAUGGACCUGCUGCUGCUGUUGAAGAUUUGAUGGCCUGUGUUGUGCUUUCUGCUCCAGGUAAUUUUCUCCUGGAUAUCUCGCUUUGGUGAGGAAUAUGUGAGAAGCGUGUUGCUGUUGCUGGUUUGAAUCUAUGGAUUUCAUUAUGUUUUGAAGCUGUGCUUUUGUGUGAUCAGCAAGUCUCAACAUUGGUUGGUUUUACAAGUCGUUUCAUCCAAGAUGAAGUGUGACGGAAGAUGUUAGAGCUUGUUGCUGUUGCUUGUUUGGGUCUGUGGUUUUCAUUAUGUUUGCGAGCUGUGAGCAAAAGUUUCAACACCAGUUGGUUUUGCAAGCAGGUUCAUCCAAGAUGAAGUGUCAGACGGAGGUUGUCAAGUCUGUAUAUCCCAAAGAAUUUAAAGAAGCGUAUUUUCUGAAUGGAAAACUGAAGCUAGCUCAUUUGAAGAGUUGGUAUGGUAUUUCUUUUUGGAAGUAUUUUCUCAGGAAA
rnacentral:lncRNA from 1 species